rnacentral:rRNA from 1 species
GAUAAACGCUGGCGGCGUGCCUUACGCAUGCAAGUCGAACGGGCCGCUUCGGCGGUCAGUGGCGGACGGGUGAGGAACACGUACGUGACCUGCCGGCCAGUGGGGGAUACCCGCGCGAAAGCGCGGCUAAUACCGCAUGGCCUCCCUGGGGGUGCCUGGGGAGGAAAGGGACUUCGGUCUCGCUGGGCGAGGGGCGUGCGGCCGAUUAGGCUAGUUGGUGGGGUAAGGGCCUACCAAGGCGACGAUCGGUAGCUGGGCUGAGAGGCUGACCAGCCAC